rnacentral:rRNA from 1 species
GGGAGUGAAAUAGACCUGAAACCGGACACCUACAAACAGACGGAGCCCAAGAUUAGUUCUGGGUGACGUCGUACCUUUUGUAUUAUGGGCCAGCGACUUAAUUUAACGAGCAAGCUUAAACCGAUAGGUGUAGGCGUAGCGAAAGCGAGUCUUAAUAGGGCGCCAAGUUCGUUGUAUUAGACCCGAAACCUAGUGAUCUAGCCAUGAGCAGGUUGAAGGUGAGGUAACACUCACUGGAGGACCGAACGG